rnacentral:lncRNA from 1 species
ACUGGCAGCCUACUACAAAACUGGGUCGGACCUCAACUGUGGAACCUCAGUUUCCUUUUUAGCCAAUGUCAAUAAUCUUGCUUUUGUGUAACUCUUAUGGGAUGACAGCGGGAUACGGAAUACAUUAAUUAGCUAGCUCAGCGGUUGUAGCUGAGCACGGUGGCUCACGCUUUUAAUCCUAGCACUAGGGAGGCAGAGGCCAGCCUUGUCUACAAAAUGAGUCCUAGGACAGCUAGAGCUACAUAGUGAGACCCUGUCUCAAAACAAACAAAAUAUGAUUGCUGUUCUCAGAGAACACAGGUUCGAUUCCCAGCGCCCACAUAACUGACCCAAUGUCCGGAGAUCCGAUGCCCUCCUCUGGCACAGGCAUGCAAGCAGGUAAAAUACAAAAAGAAAAAAAGGAGAAAAGAAGGAGAAAGAAAGAAAAAACACUCAGAAGCAGUGCAGGACAGCUGAAACUAUAAAGGUGAUAUCUUGUUUCAAAAAAAAAAAAUUAAUAAAAGGCCAGCAAGGUGGCUCAGCAGGUAAAGGGACGUGCCGCCAACACUGAGUACACGGGUAGUUUCCCCAGGAAGACGGGAAGAAAGAACAGCCCAAGAACUGAGUACUUUGUCCUCUACAUAUGUGAGUGCAGGAGGGUUUCGAAGAUGUUUUUCCGUAACUCCACAGGGUGCGAAUCUCACUCCACCCGGACUCAUCCCGCAUGACGGUGCCGCAGCGUGUGAGAGCAUGAGAGAAGGAAACAUCGAGUUCUCUCCGGGACGCCGUGCAGACUGUCCAAAGAACUGUAGCACCAAACAGACUCGAACGACCCGAGACAACACUUAGUUAGGCUCCUGAGGGCUGGAUUGGAGGGGCGUGCUCGCCGAUGGAAGGGGCCCCGCCCCGGAAGCCCUCUCCUCGGGCUAAGACCGGCUGCCCUUGUUCUUAUAUGGGCAUCCGGAAGUGGUUCGCGGCGCCAACCUACGUCAUUACAUCCAAAUUUAGCCAGGGAAGUCGGCCGGCUGCAGUGGCGGGAAGUCUGCCCGCUGGCAGGGGGUGUUUCUUAAAGGGCCUGCACAGCAAAUGAAAGGGGUUAUUUGAAUUUUUCUCCCUUCUGCAACUAGAAGCAAGUUUUUCUUGGGAAGUGAUGCAAAGUGGAACCGACUUCUUUUUUUCUUUUCUUUGUUACUGUGUGUGUGUGUGUGUGUGUGUGUGUGUGUGUGUGUGUGUGUGUGUGUGUGUGUGUGUGUGUGUGUGAGACAUCGUAUAGAAGUCUGUUCUCUUGUACGGCGUGGGACCGGUGGGACCGGGAAUCGAACUGAGUUCGUUAGGCUUGGCAACAAGUGGCUCCACCCACUGUGCCAUCUCGACCCAGAUAUCUGUCUUUCUUGGAGUAAUUCCGUUCACGAGGGCAUGAAGGCAGAAAACUGCUCUAUUGACAAGGGAAGAUCGCAGGCCCUAUGGACAUUGGGACUUCCAUGCCACUGGGUUGCGGAAAACUGGGAGAUCUUUAACGCUGAAAGUAAAGAGCAGUCGUGAGGUGGUGGAUAUCUGUGGUUACGGGGUACAGUGUCCGUGCCCACUUUCCACCCAUGUCCAGAAAGGUGGAGAUAGAAGGGCUGCAGGCUUUAGUUGAUCCUUUCGCCAUAGUAUAAUCAUAUAAUCAUUCGUUUAGUAAAUAUUGGUCAGGUGGCUGCCUAUUUCUCACCUGGAAAACUGUAUCUUCUAUGGAGUGGAGGUGAGAGAUCAGAGACAUUGAAUAAAAAGAGAAAGU